GGUACUUACACAGAACCCUGUGGAAAUCCAUAAUUAACCUCUGUGUUUGAACAGGACUCUCCAUUGACAUGAACAAAGUGGAGUCUAUUAAAUAGAUAUGAUUCAAACCACUGAGAUAUUAAAGAUCACCAUGAGGCUGCUGAUUGUGUUUGCACUUCUUUGUGUAAUGGUCCCUCUGAUCAUUACUGCUCAAAAAUCGGGCAGCAGUGGAGCAGAGGAUAAGCCACCAGAAGAGCAUCUUGUUGACAAGAGAAGCCGGGGGCUUUGGCGCAGAGCUUUUAGUGUCUUUGGAUACGGGAAAAAGGUGGACGAAUGAUAUGUACGGUCACCACUGAUACCGAUUUUGUCUGGGUCUGAAAAAGAAGAUGAUCCCUGGUCUUCCAUGAAAAGCCAUGGCCACCAGACAAAG
ensembl:lncRNA